rnacentral:rRNA from 1 species
UGCAAGUCGAACGAGAACGGGACCUUCGGGUCCUUAUUAGAGUGGCGCACGGGUGAGUAACACGUGGGUAACCUGCCCUCUGGAAGGGGACAACCACUCGAAAGGGUGGCUAAUACCGUAUAAGUCGGCCUGGUCUGCGGACCGGGACGGGAAAGUUGGGGAUUCCUUCGGGGACCUGACACCAGAGGAGGGGCCCGCGUCGCAUCAGCUUGUUGGUGGGGUAAUGGCCUACCAAGGCUUAGACGCGUAGCUGGUCUGAGAGGAUGAUCAGCCACACUGGGACUGANACACGGCCCANACUCCUACGGGAGGCAGCAGUGGGGAAUAUUGGACAAUGGGCGAAAGCCUGAUCCAGCCACGCCGCGUGAGUGAUGAAGGCCCUCGGGUCGUAAAGCUCUGUGGAGAAGGACGAAAGGUUGCGGGUUAAUACCCCGUAGAUUUGACGGUACUUCUUUAGCAAGCACCGGCUAACUCCGUGCCAGCAGCCGCGGUAAUACGGAGGGUGCAAACGUUGCUCGGAAUC